rnacentral:rRNA from 1 species
GACGAACGCUGGCGGCGUGCUUAACACAUGCAAGUCGAACGGAGUGGCGAACGGGUGAGUAACACGUGGGUGACCUGCCUUGCACUUCGGGAUAAGCUUGGGAAACUGGGUCUAAUACCGGAUAGUGCAAGAUGAGCUCGCGGCCUAUCAGCUUGUUGGUGGGGUAAUGGCCUACCAAGGCGUCGACGGGUAGCCGGCCUGGGAGGGUGUACGGCCACAUGGGGGCUGAGGUACGGACCAGAGUCCUACGGGGUGCAGCAGUGGGGAAGAGUGCACAAGGGGCGGAAGCCUGAGGCAGCGGCGCCGGGUGGGGGAUGAAGGCCCUGGGGUUGUAAACUCCUUUCGACAGGGACGCGGUACCUGUAUAAGAAGCACCGGCUAACUACGUGCCAGCAGCCGCGGUAAUUC